UCCGUGGCUCCUGGGGAAGAUCGUGGUUUCUGGGCUUUCCUGAGGGCUGUGACCAACAGUUCCCCCAAAUUCUCCGCGUGGGAGGGGAAAGGGUGGGUUCUGGCUCACUUCUCAGCAACCUGAAAUCCGGAGGGAGAUCCAGAAUAGAAGGGUGUCCUUGGUGUCCCCAAGCAAGGUAAACUGGAGAUACUGUGGCGCCCCAGGAGAGAAGUAGCCUGGAGAAGUGGAGGACCAGUGCAUGGCUGGGGUCUGGUUUGGCUCUGGACCAAUCUGAACCCAAAGGUAGAGAGAGACUGGGCUCUCUGAACACCAGGCUGAAGGCUGUUAAACUGACAGAUUCAUCCCAAGUCCAUCUCCAGGCAGUCUGGGCUGUGUCAGGGCAUGGCCAAGUCUCCAGCUGUGGGGAGGCCCAGUACAGCCCUUGUUCCAGGCGCCCCCCACCCCCAGCGCCACCACCCCCACAUUCUUUCUUUGUUGUGAAAGCAGCAAGGGGUGUAGGAGGCGGGUCAGGAGGAGUCAAGCUUUGGAAGAUGGGCCCCAGCUGCUGCUGGGCCUCCAGGAUAUGCCGAGAGGGUAUGGAUAGUAAAGUGAAAUACACGGACCUGAAGUGAGGCAGCAGAGGGAACAAGAGAGGCCAGGGCAAGGCAGGUUGGCUGGCCAGCCCCAAACCCUCUGACAGAAAAGCCAGCUGCAGGCUGCAUCUCUGAGGUGCAGACCCGCUCCUUACCCACUCUGGGGCCCCUAGUAGUAGAGCUAGCUACUCUAGAGGAUCACAGGGUGGGGAGAGGAUGUCCUGAGGGUCCUUCCUGAGGGGGAUUCCUGAGGAGGGAGCUGAGACCCUAAGGGCAGCAGCAAUCUUCUGGUUAACUGCUCCCCCUUCACUGUCCCACCUUGGGGCUGGAAGAGCCAGGAGCAAUAGGGAAUGCUGUGAGGACUGUGUGGGGGACCCAGCAGACCUGGGGGGGGUGGGAUGAAUGUCAGCUGCUUGAAGAGAGGUCCAUACUGCUGGCACUGAGGCCUCGGGAGACCUGAAAUAGACAAUAGCAUGCCAUCAGCCCAGGGACCUCAGCCUCCCAAAGACUGUCCCCUGGAGUCUUAUCCAUCUCACGGCUGCAGUCUCUCUCUGGACCUAGGAUGGCGCCUGUAACCUCAACCCCAAGCUCUGGGCUUUGUUUAGUCUUUGCUACGAUUUCCCAGAAGGCCACAAUCUGGUGGAGAAAAUACCUGGAAGAACCACAUGAAUAUUGGCAUAUACUUUGAAUGUGUUGAUACAGGUGGUCGUUUCCCAUUAAAAUGUCAUUGCUACUUCUUUAA